rnacentral:misc_RNA from 1 species
AAGUCGUAACAAGGUUUCCGUAGGUGAACCUGCGGAAGGAUCAUUACCGAGUGAGGGCCCUCUGGGUCCAACCUCCCACCCGUGUUUAUUUUACCUUGUUGCUUCGGCGGGCCCGCCUUAACUGGCCGCCGGGGGCUGCACGCCCCGGCCCGGCCGCCGCCGCAGACACCCUCCGACAUCUGUCUGAGAUUGUAGUCUGAGUGAAAAUAUAAAUUAUUUAAAA